rnacentral:SRP_RNA from 1 species
GCCGGGCAUGGUGCUGCGUGCCUGUAAUCCCAGCUACUCAGGAGGCUGAGACAGGAGAAUUGCUUGAACCUAGGAGGCAGAGGUUGCAGUGAGCCAAGAUCGCGCCACUGCACUCUAGCCUGGGCGACACAGGGAGACCCUGUCUCAA